rnacentral:rRNA from 1 species
AUUGAACGCUAGCGGGAUGCCUUACACAUGCAAGUCGAACGAGUGGCAACGGGUGAGUAAUGUAUCGGAACGUGCCCAGUCGCUGGGGAUAACUACUGGACACGGUAGCUAAUACCGCAUACCAUCGGAUGUGCCCAGAUGGGAUUAGCUAGUAGGUGGGGUCAUGGCUCACCUAGGCGACGCUCCCUCGCUGGUCUGAGAGGAUGACCAGCCACACUGGAACUGAGACACGGGCCAGACGCCUACGGGAGGCAGCAGUGGGGAAUAUUGCACAAUGGGCGCAAGCCUGAUGCAGCCAUGCCGCGUGUAUGAAGAAGGCCUUCGGGUGGUAAAGUACUUUCAGCGAGGAGGCGUUACUCGCAGAAGAAGCACCGGCUAACUCCGUGCCAGCAGCCGCGGUAAUAC